ACCUCCAGUCCCCUCUGAACUGUCUGUUUACAGUCAGAAAACAUCCAGAAUCAACAAAUAAACAACCAAACACACUUGUGUUUCAGCUACAUGGGAGUCAAUGUGAGGUGGAUUUUUAACAUGUUUGAGCUUCUCUGAGUAGGAAUGGCAGCUCUGGGGUUUUUGUACGAGGUUAUUUCACUGUGUUGGGGUUCCACAGUGAAUAAACUUCCACACAGAGCUGAACAAAAACCUCCAGUCCCCCCUAAACUGUCUGUUUACAGUCAGAAAACAUCCAGAAUCAACAAAUAAACAACCAAACACACUUGUGUUUCAGCUACAUGGGAGUCAAUGUGAGGUGGAUUUUUAACAUGUUUGAGCUUCUCU